GGGGGAGUCAGGAAAGAGCGAGACAGAGAGAGAGAAAGAAAGAGAGAGAGAGGGUGCAGAUAGCGGGUGGGGAAAACCGCCUCUGAAAGGGAUGAUGUCAGUCUCUGCAGCUGAGCCCCGGUCCCCAAUUCGAUAGGACGAAGACUCUCUCAGGCUGGCGGGCACUAGAGCAGACAUACGAGGGAGCCAGACAAACAUAUGAGGGUCUGCUGGAUGAAUGGACAGCAGGCUGGUGAAAAAGGGAGCACAGAAGGAAAGCAAUGCCCUCUGGAUGCCGCUGGUCAGACAGGUGACAUGUACGCAGAGGCCACCUGCACGACCCCCCCCCCCCCGCCGCCAUCACUGCUGACCAGCAGCCCGUCGCAUAACGUCCCCCAGAGAUAGGAGCACAGCACAGGAGGUGAGAGGUGAGAUGGAAAUACAUUCUUUUGGGAUGGAAGGGGAAGCAAAAGAGGCUGGACUGGGGAGGAAGACCAAGAGAGGCUGUCAGCGGCAGAGGGAGGAGAGCGCAGAUGAGGAGAGACAGGGAAGGUGCCUCACAAAUGGAGUGAGAUGGGGAGAGAGGAGGCGCUAUUUCAAGACGAUACUUCCUGAUAAUGUCGCUCCACUUCAAAGUGCAAAGUGUUCCUGUCGUGCUCCUGCAUGACUGGGUCUCUGGAGAAUUUCCUCAUAGAUCACAUGAUAAAAGGAUGCUUGACAGCGGUGUGUGUGUGUGUGUGUGUGUGUGUGUGUGUCUCAGUUGAACAAAAUAUACUCUGCUCGUGCUUUGUUUGAACACGCAGCUGCUGACCCGAGGAUGGGAAAGAUUCCCUGCAUGGUGCAGCGUUACAUCAAAUACUGAACAAUAACAUUCCUCCAGAGCAACCAUGUGUGUUGUUGUGAAAGAAAAUACCAUAAAUACGCAACAGGGGAAAGGAAUGUACCGUUAACGAGGGUUCCGUUAUUGGUUUUUAUUUGUAUUGUUUUAUGUUCCUUUGUUGUUCACUGUUCAUUACUACUUGGCAUGUCAACUGGAGCUGUCAUUCGUUCAUCUGUGUGAUUAAUAUCAUUAUUCAUUCAUCACUUUUAUGUUGACUAAAGGAAAUCAUUCACUUUUUCUCUCUUUGAGGCAAGGGUGUCCAAAGAGAGGCCACGGGCCGUUUGGGGCCUGCAGAAUUUACAUAAAUAU